AGCAGCCGCGGUAAUUCCAGCUCCNAUAGCGUAUAUUAAAGUUGUUGCAGUUAAAAAGCUCGUAGUUGAAUUUCGGGGUCAGCAGGUUGGUCAUGCCUCUGGUAUGCACUGGUUUCGCUGAUUCCUCCUUUCUGAAGAACCGUAAUGUCAUUAAUUUGGUGUUGCAGGGAAACAGGACUGUUGCUUUGAAAAAAUUAGAGUGUUUAAAGCAAGCUAACGCCUGAAUACAUUAGCAUGGAAUAAUGAAAUAGGACGUUUGAUCCUAUUUUGUUGGUUUCUAGGAUUGACUUAAUGAUUAAUAGGGAUAGUUGGGGGCAUUAGUAUUCAAUUGUCAGAGGUGAAAUUCCUGGAUUUAUUGAAGACUAACUACUGCGAAAGUAUUUGCCAAGGACGUUUUCAUUAAUCAAGAACGAAAGUUAGGGGAUCGAAGACGAUCAGAUACCGUCGUAGUCUUAACCAUAAACUAUGCCGACUAGGGAUCGGAUGAUGUUAAUUUUUUAAUGACUCA
rnacentral:rRNA from 1 species